UCAUCUUCGGGGGUAGAGCACUGUUUCGGCUAGGGGGUCAUCCCGACUUACCAACCCGAUGCAAACUACGAAUACCGAAGAAUGUUAUCACGGGAGACACACGGCGGGUGCUAACGUCCGUCGUGAAGAGGGAAACAACCCAGACCGCCAGCUAAGGUCCCAAAGUCAUGGUUAAGUGGGAAACGAUGUGGGAAGGCACAGACAGCCAGGAUGUUGGCUUAGAAGCAGCCAUCAUUUAAAGAAAGCGUAAUAGCUCACUGGUCGAGUCGGCCUGCGCGGAAGAUGUAACGGGGCUAAACCAUGCACCGAAGCUGCGGCAGCGACACUAUGUGUUGUUGGGUAGGGGAGCGUUCUGUAAGCCUGCGAAGGUGNUCCAGGCAAAUCCGGAUAAUCAAGGCUGAGGUGUGAUGACGAGGCACUACGGUGCUGAAGUAACAAAUGCCCUGCUUCCAGGAAAAGCCUCUAAGCAUCAGGUAACAUUAAAUCGUACCCCAAACCGACACAGGUGGUCAGGUAGAGAAUACCAAGGCGCUUGAGAGAACUCGGGUGAAGGAACUAGGCAAAAUGGUGCCGUAACUUCGGGAGAAGGCACGCUGGUGUGUAGGUGAAGUCCCUGCGGAUGGAGCUGAGACCAGUCGAAGAUACCAGCUGGCUGCAACUGUUUAUUAAAAACACAGCACUGUGCAAACACGAAAGUGGACGUAUACGGUGUGACGCCUGCCCGGUGCCGGAAGGUUAAUUGAUGGGGUUAUCCGUAAGGAGAAGCUCUUGAUCGAAGCCCCGGUAAACGGCGGCCGUAACUAUAACGGUCCUAAGGUAGCGAAAUUCCUUGUCGGGUAAGUUCCGACCUGCACGAAUGGCGUAAUGAUGGCCAGGCUGUCUCCACCCGAGACUCAGUGAAAUUGAACUCGCUGUGAAGAUGCAGUGUACCCGCGGCAAGACGGAAAGACCCCGUGAACCUUUACUAUAGCUUGACACUGAACAUUGAGCCUUGAUGUGUAGGAUAGGUGGGAGGCUUUGAAGCGUGGACGCCAGUCUGCGUGGAGCCAACCUUGAAAUACCACCCUUUAAUGUUUGAUGUUCUAACGUUGGCCCCUUACCGGGGUUGCGGACAGUGUCUGGUGGGUAGUUUGACUGGGGCGGUCUCCUCCCAAAGCGUAACGGAGGAGCACGAAGGUUAGCUAAUCCUGGUCGGACAUCAGGAGGUUAGUGCAAUGGCAUAAGCUAGCUUGACUGCGAGCGUGACGGCGCGAGCAGGUGCGAAAGCAGGUCAUAGUGAUCCGGUGGUUCUGAAUGGAAGGGCCAUCGCUCAACGGAUAAAAGGUACUCCGGGGAUAACAGGCUGAUACCGCCCAAGAGUUCAUAUCGACGGCGGUGUUUGGCACCUCGAUGUCGGCUCAUCACAUCCUGGGGCUGAAGUAGGUCCCAAGGGUAUGGCUGUUCGCCAUUUAAAGUGGUACGCGAGCUGGGUUUAGAACGUCGUGAGACAGUUCGGUCCCUAUCUGCCGUGGGCGCUGGAGAAUUGAGGGGGGCUGCUCCUAGUACGAGAGGACCGGAGUGGACGCAUCACUGGUGUUCGGGUUGUCAUGCCAAUGGCACUGCCCGGUAGCUAAAUGCGGAAGAGAUAAGUGCUGAAAGCAUCUAAGCACGAAACUUGCCCCGAGAUGAGUUCUCCCUGAGACUUUAAGUCUCCUGAAGGAACGUUGAAGACGACGACGUUGAUAGGCCGGGUGUGUAAGCGCAGCGAUGCGUUGAGCUAACCGGUACUAAUGAACCGUGAGGCUUAACCUU
rnacentral:rRNA from 1 species